UGCGUAGGUGAACCUGCGGAAGGAUCAUUAU
rnacentral:rRNA from 1 species